rnacentral:tRNA from 1 species
GUCUCUGUAGCGCAAUAGAUAGCGCGUUGGAUUUCUAAUUCAAAAGUCGUGGUUUCGAAUCCCGCCUGGGAUG